rnacentral:misc_RNA from 1 species
GUGAAUCAUCGAAUUUUUGAACGCAAAUUGCACUCUCCGCGGAGAGUAUGACUGUUUGAGGGUCAGCAUAUAAAAAAUCGAAAUAGUUGCUGUUUGGCGGUGGCGUUCGUCGGAAUUUGGGUCAUAUUAAAUCUUUUGGUUUUAAGCGACUUAAAAUUUUCUUUUUGGUUCCAUGAACGUUUCUAAGAUUUAUUUCUCUACACGUUUAAGGUAUCGAUUUUUAUUCGAUGUGACAAUUAUAUCGGC